rnacentral:rRNA from 1 species
UAGGGAAUCUUCGGCAAUGGACGGAAGUCUGACCGAGCAACGCCGCGUGAGUGAAGAAGGUUUUCGGAUCGUAAAGCUCUGUUGUAAGAGAAGAACGAGUGUGAGAGUGGAAAGUUCACACUGUGACGGUAUCUUACCAGAAAGGGACGACUAACUACGUGCCAGCAGCCGCGGUAAUACGUAGGUCCCGAGCGUUGUCCGGAUUUAUUGGGCGUAAAGCGAGCGCAGGCGGUUAGAUAAGUCUGAAGUUAAAGGCUGUGGCUUAACCAUAGUAGGCUUUGGAAACUGUUUAACUUGAGUGCAAGAGGGGAGAGUGGAAUUCCAUGUGUAGCGGUGAAAUGCGUAGAUAUAUGGAGGAACACCGGUGGCGAAAGCGGCUCUCUGGCUUGUAACUGACGCUGAGGCUCGAAAGCGUGGGGAGCAAACAGGAUUAGAUACCCUGGUAGUCCACGCUGUAAACGAUGAGUGCUAGGUGUUAGACCCUUUCCGGGGUUUAGUGCCGUAGCUAACGCAUUAAGCACUCCGCCUGGGGAGUACGACCGCAAGGUU